rnacentral:tRNA from 1 species
GGAGGUAUAGCUCAGUGGUAGAGUAUGUGCCUAGCAUGCACAAGGUCCUGGGUUCAAUCCCCAGGACUGUCA